rnacentral:rRNA from 1 species
CAGCCGCCGCGGUAAAACGGAGGGUGCAAGCGUUAUUCGGAAUUACUGGGCGUAAAGCGCACGCAGGCGGUUGCCCAAGUCAGAUGUGAAAGCCCCGGGCUUAACCUGGGAACUGCAUUUGAAACUGGGCGACUAGAGUAUGAAAGAGGAAAGCGGAAUUUCCAGUGUAGCAGUGAAAUGCGUAGAUAUUGGAAGGAACACCGAUGGCGAAGGCAGCUUUCUGGGUCGAUACUGACGCUCAUGUGCGAAAGCGUGGGGAGCAAACAGGAUUAGAUACCCCUGUAGUCCCUGUCUCUUAUAC